CAGGUCAGAAAUUUGGGAUAUUAAAUGUAACUGAUGACCUUUGAGAAAGACAUAUUGGACAGAAAUGGCAUGAGGGAGAGGUAACUCUCAUGAUUGACAUGUUUCUCCAAACUGAAAAUUAAAUUAAAGAAUAGAAGAUGAAGCCAGGCAAGUGCCACUGAAAGGUUCUGCUUAUAUAGGUAGAGAUGAACUUCCUUGUGUGGAUCCUCAGGUGUGUGCCAUGUACUCUCCAAGAACUGGGAGGAGCAAGUUAGCCAAGACGGUGUGAUCAGGCCCUCUUGCCUCACGUUUUGUAAACAAUGAUUAUGUAACAGCUGAGCUCAUUUAUAGCACUGCACAUGCGCGCCACGAGGUACUCACUUGGUCACGGGCUACUUUGUGCGGUGCGCCUGUAUAAGCGCCAUCUGAGACGGCCUUGAGGGUGUGUUAUGGCUACAUUAUGGCUGUGUCUGGUGGGUGAACAUGAGAGGAGAGAAUACAGCAUGUCUACUGUUAUGGCCGCUGCGCCAGCCAGGAGAGAAGAAACGCGUCUACUGUUCCUACGGCUCCUUGCGUGUUCUUCCAGCUCCCCUGCUCACACCGUGCCUACCCUGGGUUCAGCGAACACUGUGAACAGCGCCACGCUGUGCUGCCAAACUUCCCAAUGAUACAUAGAAAGAGUUCCUCUCCUCCAGAUUGCAGUAACAUUUUCCUUACUAUCCUUUGAGCAAUCAUUAAAAGGCUCUUCGAAGCACUCUAGGCUAACUGUCCUCAAAUCCAUCCAGCUUUUGCUUGGUCCCAAAGUCAGUACCACAUAGUUUAUGUUUUUGGUAUGAACAUCUUCACUUACAGGCUUUAAAUUUUGUUCUCUGUAUCUAUUACUGCA